rnacentral:rRNA from 1 species
UACAGAGGGGGCAAGCGUUGUUCGGAUUUACUGGGCGUAAAGCGCACGUAGGCGGGUCGUUAAGUCAGGGGUGAAAUCCCGGAGCUCAACUCCGGAACUGCCUUUGAUACUGGCGACCUUGAGGCUGGAAGAGGUUAGUGGAAUUCCCAGUGUAGAGGUGAAAUUCGUAGAUAUUGGGAAGAACACCAGUGGCGAAGGCGGCUAACUGGUCCAGAUCUGACGCUGAGGUGCGAAAGCGUGGGGAGCAAACAGG